rnacentral:rRNA from 1 species
UACGUAGGGUGCAAGCGUUACUCGGAAUUACUGGGCGUAAAGCGUGCGCAGGCGGUUUUGUAAGCCAGAUGUGAAAUCCCCGGGCUUAACCUGGGAAUGGCAUUUGGGACUGCAUCGCUGGAGUGCGGCAGAGGGGGAUGGAAUUCCGCGUGUAGCAGUGAAAUGCGUAGAUAUGCGGAGGAACACCGAUGGCGAAGGCAAUCCCCUGGGCCUGCACUGACGCUCAUGCACGAAAGCGUGGGGAGCAAACAGG